rnacentral:lncRNA from 1 species
GAACUGUUUUUCUAAAGUUUAGAAGUUCUUACAUGUAGUCGGGUAAAGUUUUUCUAGCAGUUCUGAAAUCAUCCACCUAGGACUAGCUAAUGCAUCAAGCCAAAAUCAGAUUUUGAUCUGAUUUUGCUUUAUUUGUAUUGUGUAUUUAGUGUAGUAUACGUUUCCAUGUAUUUGUGAAAAUUAAGUAAUUUGAUAUAAUGAGAUAUCACCAUGCUGGAUCAUAAUUGAGAGAAAAAAAGGAACAGGGAGGAGAGAGCAGAGUAAAUGGGAUUAGGAGAAGAGAGAGGGGGAAGGAAAAGGGAAAAGAAGUGACAGUGGUUGUGCAGAAUUCCAGGGAGGGAUGACAGCUUCAGGAGAAUUGGAAAAAAAGAAGACAGCAUGGCAGGAGCACAGCUGGAUGUUUUGCACAGAGAAUGUGUCUGAAGAUUUGAGGUGGGAAAGAGAUGGGACCAGGGUUUUGUUGCCUCGGUAUGCUCCGCAGAAUGAGGAAUACAUUGCAGACACAGCUGUGUCUCACAGCACAGAGACAUCUAAUGAUGCCCUGAAUGCUUGCCAUUUGCCAGCCGUGCCUGAUGGACCCAGGGAACACAUGGCUUUUACUAGGGAUAUUGGUCUUUUUUUCUCCCGGUUUCUCAUAGCUUUGGCUCACAAUAGUAACAUCAUUUCUGUCCUUUGUUCCUCAUAAAAACUACAAUGAUCAUGCAAUUAGUGCAGAAUAAAGAAAAAGGGAUCUAGGGAAGAAAAGAAUGAGCUUUCCUCUGGGUUUCAUUAACAGGAAAAAAAAAGCUGUGCGCUGUACCCUCUAUUGUAAUCUUUCU